rnacentral:rRNA from 1 species
UCCUGGCUCAGGAUGAACGCGGCGGCGUGCCUAAUACAUGCAAGUCGAACAGGUGCUUUGUAGCAAUACGAAGUAUCCUAGUGGCGAACGGGUGAGUAACGCGUUGGUGACCUACCCCAAAGUGUGGGAUAACAGUCCGAAAGGAUUGCUAAUACCGCAUGUGGUCUCUGGGUUUAGAAACCGGUGACUAAAGGAGCAAUUCGCUUUGGGAGGGACCUGCGUCCCAUCACUAGUUGGUGAGGUAACGGCUCACCAAGGGACGACGGGUAGGGGACCUGAGAGGGUGGCCCCCCACAAUGGAACUGAAACACGGUCCAUACACCUACGGGUGGCAGCAGUAGGGAAUAUUGGUCAAUGGGCGAAAGCCUGAACCAGCAACGCCGCGUGUGCGAUGAAGGCUUCGGGUCGUAAAGCAUUUUUCUGGGCAGAUGAUAAAGGACAGUAUCCCAGGAAAUAAUCAUCGGCUAACUAAUGC